UAAAAACAACAUAAACUCAGGUUGGUGGUGGUGGAUCAUCGUUGUGAUCGUGGGUGUUGCAGCACUCACAAUAAUCACUGUGGCUGUCAUCAGACGGAAGAGGACUCAAGGGAAUGAAACGCAGACGGACGACAACGUGG